rnacentral:lncRNA from 1 species
UCUUCACUUGCUGUGGGACGUCAGGGCGCUGGGAGCAGAUGCUGCUGCUCCCCUACGCCGGGACAGCUCACGUCUCAUUGGCCAGAGUAGUCACAUGACCCCACCCAGGCACUGGGAAGCCAGGAAGUGAGACCUACUGUGCGUCCUCAGGGCAGAUAGUACAACUCUUCGGUCAGCAGCACGGGGAAUGCUCCAGCGAGGAUUAGGAAGGAAACCAGACUUUUGAUUUCCCUGACUCCAGACUUUGCGGGAAGAAUGCUCAUUGAAGGAAGAUUUGGGAGUUGAGAGGAGGGGGUAGGAGUGAGCUGAUUAUUAUCAAAGGCAGAAGUGAGAAAACGGGGGGCUGAUAGUUAAGUCCUUUCAGAGCAAAUGAAAGUGAUUUCCAUGACAACAAUUCAAUUAGCGACAUGAAGUUCUCUGUGAGGGAACGCUGGGGAAUUACCACACAAUGAACCCUAAGCAUUUUGGCCUUGGGGUGGAGAGGGGUGAGAAAGGCCCCAGCAGGGGACCCCCAGCGGUUCCUGGAUACAGGGCAUGCCUCCCUAGUGGGAAGAGUCACCCCUUCCAGCACCCAGGGGAGGGAGGAGGGAAGAGGUUGGCAGAAAUAAGCAAAUGCGGAGUGGGUGUGAGCAGGAAUGGGCCAGGGCAGGCAGGGAAGCCCGGGGACUGGGGCGGGCGAUUGAGGAACCUGUGUUUUGCUUCUGAGAUAAAGGAAUCGAGGUCCAGGAAGGGGAGUAGAAUUACCAAAGCCUCCAAGUGAGUCAGUAGCCAUGGUUGGUACUUGAACUUCCAUCCUUUGACUUGGUUUACCUUUGCUACCCCACUCAGUUCUACCCCAGGAUGGCCAGAGGAGACCAGGCUUGACUGACAGCCCUGUUUCCUAGGGGAUGUCACUGUCUAGGUAGAGAUGCUGGAGAUAUAGCAGGAAGAAAACACACCCAAAUCCUGGCCCGCAUGGAGCUGACAUUGUAAGAUACCCCACACCAUCAGUCAAAGAUAUACCAUGUCAACAAGAGGAAGCCUGGAUAUGCC